rnacentral:rRNA from 1 species
AGAGUUUGAUCCUGGCUCAGGAUGAACGCUAGCGGCAGGCCUAAUACAUGCAAGUCGAGGGGUAACAGAAAGUGCUUGCACUUUGCUGACGACCGGCGAACGGGUGAGUAACGCGUAUACAAUCUACCUCAUACUAGAGAAUAGCCCGAAGAAAUUUGGAUUAACACUCUAUAGUAUCAUUUAAAGACAUCUUUUUAUGAUUAAAGGUUACGGUAUGAGAUGAGUAUGCGUUCUAUUAGUUUGUAGGUGAGGUAACGGCUCACCUAGACUGCGAUAGAUAGGGGCCCUGAGAGGGGGACCCCCCACACUGGUACUGAGACACGGACCAGACUCCUACGGGAGGCAGCAGUAAGGAAUAUUGGUCAAUGGACGAAAGUCUGAACCAGCCAUGCCGCGUGCAGGAUGAAUGCCCUAUGGGUUGUAAACUGCUUUUUUACAGGAAGAAACCUUAGUACGUGUACUAAGUUGACGGUACUGUAAGAAUAAGCACCGGCUAACUCCGUGCCAGCAGCCGCGGUAAUACGGAGGGUGCAAGCGUUAUCCGGAUUUAUUGGGUUUAAAGGGUCCGCAGGCGGAACUUUAAGUCAGUGGUGAAAGCCUACAGCUCAACUUUAGAACUGCCAUUGAAACUGAAGUUCUUGAGUGUGGUUGAAGUGGGCGGAAUAUGUCAUGUAGCGGUGAAAUGCAUAGAUAUGACAUGGAACACCUAUUGCGAAAGCAGCUCACUAAACCAUUACUGACGCUCAUGGACGAAAGUGUGGGUAGCGAACAGGAUUAGAUACCCUGGUAGUCCACACCGUAAACUAUGAUCACUAGAUGUUGGCGAUAUAAUGUCAGUGUUAAAGAGAAAUCGUUAAGUGAUCCACCUGGGGAGUACGUUCGCAAGAAUGAAACUCAAAGGAAUUGACGGGGGCCCGCACAAGCGGUGGAACAUGUGGUUUAAUUCGAUGCAACGCGAAGAACCUUACCUAGACUUGACAUGUUAAAGAAAGCUUUGUGAAAACAAAGG